UCAGCUAUACUUCAAUAUGGUUUUUUAAAAUAAAUUUAAAAAAUAAAAAAAAGUUUUAAAAUAAUUAGGAGCCCUAUCCUUAAUACAAAUAAAAUAGAGUGAUUAACUAAAAGUUGUCCCUAUGUCACACCCAUCCUCCACUAUCAUUUGGUGUGCAGCUAGCUAAGAUAAAUGUACAUUUGUGCUCAUAAUCUUAAUUUCAGCAUCAUGAGAAUUCAGAGGUAGUCAGGCACCUAGCUUACUUUUGGAACCACAUAUUUGCCACCCUGUACCAGGAAGAAUGUGAUCUACUGAUAUUCUAAUGCUGAAAUUAGAGAGCUCAAGCAACAGCUGAUUGCACACCAUGAGAUCCACUAAAAUCUGACAGCAGGCAUAGUCACCAAUUUUGACCAUAAUGACAGCAAUGGGGAGACUUUUUGUUAAAGGGACAAGAGAGCAGAUAUCUGGCACCAAGCACUGGAAAAAAGCAAGACAGUUUUAAACAAGGACCACAUGUGGUGACUCAUUAGAUGUUGAGAGCUAAUAAGAAGCUGAAGAUUUUUAGCUUAGCACUGAUGCUGUGGGCCGCAGGAUCUCCUAACAUCUAGAAAUUGAGAAUGAAUCAGGAGGUGGUGAUAAAUCCGGUGCUGAUGCCUGGUGUGUGGAACUGUUAUAUUUUUAGGAUAAAUGCAAAGAUGUAAAAAUCCAAGAGAGUGCCUGAGUGAAGCAGCUAUGUUGAGAGAGAUUUGUGUAUGAAGUAUUCCUUCAUUCACUAAGCAGAAACAAUGCCAUGGAUAGCAUCCCAGCUUUCAGAAUAUAGAAAAUGGCCCCUUCUGGAUGGAGCUGCCAAGCUAACACAGAAGAAAAAAUUAACCAGAUAAAGAUUAUAAACUGUAGUGGAUGUUGGGAUAAUAGAAAUAAAGGGUACCAUGAGGGCAUGGUCCAGAGAAGUGAAGAAAUCCCAGUGGAGGUGCCAGCCCAGGACAAAAGAAGAAAUAUGAAAAGCAAAGGGAAUUCCCACAGGAAGGGGGAUAGGAAUGGGUAAGACGGCCAGAGUCAGCAGGAGCUGGGUGGCUAGUAAGGAUGGAGAGGCAGACAGAUCCAGAUCCUUGUGUUCUAUACAAAAGCAUCUCUGUUCUUACAGGCAGGAAAGCUAUGUUAUUAGCCACUUUUUUUUUUUUUUUUUUUGGUCUUUUUAGGGCCACACCCAUGGCAUGCGGAGGUUCUCAGGCUAGGGGUCAAAUAGGAGCUAUAGCUGCCAGCCUAAACUACAUCCACAGCAACACCAGAUCUGAGCUGCGUCUGUGACCUACACCACAGCUCAUGGCAAUACCGGAUCCCUAACCCACUGAGCAAGGCCAGGAAUCGAACCUAUGUUCUCAUGGAUACAAGUCAGAUUUCUUUCGGCUGAGCCUCGGUGGGAACUCCUAGCCACCAUUUUUAAAAGGUAACCAGCUACCCACGUUUUUAUUUUGAGAAAAUGCUCUGUGCUAUGCAGUGAACAAGAUAAAGUCCCUGCCCUCGAGAAGUGUGUCUAUUGGUGGAGGAUUUCGGACAAUAAACCCUUGGAAAAUGUGUGCCAAGUGCUGGGGAGAAGGCAAGGAAGAGGCUUCAAUUGGAGACAGUGAGUGAAGGGACAGGGAACACAGACCCUGGUUGUCCACAGUGACUGCUCUUGUGGAGGAAAUAUUUGAAUUGAGAUCUGAACAGUGAGAAAGGAGGAGGCUUGUGACGGUCUAGGAAAAGCAUUCCAAGCUGAAGGACAGCAAGCUCCAUAAGACAGAAACAAGCCAGCAUGUGUUCAAGGCCCAGAAAGUGGGAAGAGGGGAAAUAAAAGAGGGUGUAAGGAACAUGAGGUCAGAGAGGCGAGACGAGGACAGACCAGAGAGGAACUUGAGGGAAGAUGACCAAACAUCCAGUGGGCCAACUUCCACAAGCUGUGGGCAUGAACAAAAAUAAAUAAACAAAUAAAUAAAAGAUGUGAAAGAUGUUGUUAAGAGAAUAAGAAGACAAGCCACAGACUGGGAGGAAACAUUUGCGAAAGACACAUCUAAUAAAGGACUGUUCUCCAAAAUAAUCAAAGAACUCUUAAACCUCAAAAAUAAGAAGCAAACAACCUGAUUUUUGAAAUGAACCUAUAGACUUUAACAGAUUUCUCACCAAACAUAUAUAGAUGGCAAAUUUGCACAUGAAAAGAUGCUCCAUAUCAUAUGUUAUCAGGGAAAUGCAAAUUAAAAUUAUGAGAUACCACUAUACACCUGUUAGAAUAGCAGAAUCCAGAACACUGACAAUACAAAUGCUGGUGAGGAUGUGGAGCAAUAGGAACUGUCAUUCAACCCCUGGUGGAGUGAAAACUGGAACAGCCACUAUAGAAGAUGGUUAGGCAGUAUCUUACAAGAAUAAGUAUACUCUAAAAUAAUUAAGCAAUUAUACUUCUUGGUAUUACCCAAAGGAGUUGAAAUAAAAACCUACAUGUGAAUAGUUAUAGCAGCUUAAUUCAUAAUUGUUAAAAACUGGAAGCAACCAAGAUGUCAUUCAGGAGGUGAAUAAAGAAGCUGUUGAUCAUCCAUACAAUGCAAUAUUAUUCAGGAAUAAAAAGAAAUGAGAUACCAAGCCAUGAAAAGGCCACAGAGGAACCAUAAAUGCAUAUUACUAAGUGAAAAAAAAUUGAGAAGUAUGUGUGUAUAUAUAUAUAUAUAUAUUGCAUGAUUCCAACUGUAUGGAAUUCUGGAAGAGGCAAAACUAUGGAAAUCAGUGAUUGUCAGGGUUGGCUAGGGGUAGGAGGUGAUAAGGAGGUGAACAGGCAGUGAAAAUACUUUGUAGCCAUAAUGAUGGCUACAGGGUGUUAUACAUUUGUACAAACCCAUACAAUGUACAACACUAAGCGUGAACUAUAAACUAUGAACUUGGAAUGACUAUGUAUCAAUAUAGGUCAUCAAUUGUGACAAAUGUACCAUUCUGGGAGGGGAGGUAAUAUAUACAUGGGGUCAGGUAUAUAUGGGAAAGAUCUACCUUCCCCUAAAUUUUGCUGGGAGGAAUCUAAACUGCUCUAAAUACAUUGUCUUAAUUUUUUUUAGGGCUGCAUGUGCCACAUAGGGAAGUUGCUAGGCUAGGGGUCGAAUUAGAGCUGCAGCUGCCAACCUAUCCCACGGCUACAGCAAAGCAAGAUCUGAGCUUCAUCUGUAACCUACACUAUAGCUCACAGCAACGCUAGAUACGUAACCCACUGAGUAAUGUCAGGGAGCGAACCCGCAUCCUCGUGGUUAGUAGUCAGGUUCGUUACUGCUGAACCAUAACAGGAACUCCCUUUAUUUUUUUUUUUAAGUGACUCUUUAAAAAAGUUUAGAGUUACUUGUCAUUUCUGUUUAAAAAGUUAUUUCUUUUGAAAAUGUUAUCCCUUGUUAAAAAAUAUACAGCAUUAUAAAAUACAAUUAAAAAUGAAAAAGCAUCUGAAGCAGACCUCCCCACAGGCCCACCCCUGCCACCACUUGUCCUCAAAGUUGACAUUUGAGUCUCAAGGGUAAUCAAGAACACAGAAUUCAUUCCAAAAAUCUCUGUGGCUCAGUUGGAACAACUGUUUGUGUUUAUAAGGCACAUGGUUUGAUGAAGAUUACAUUUAUUUUAGAUUAGUCUGGGGGCUGGCCUUGUUGUUUUAAAAAUCUAAAGAAGAAAUUACAAAUUUAAACAGUUUGUGUUAGUGGCAAAGCCUGCUGUUUGCUCUAGCAGAUGCUGUCAGUGCUCUGCCCACAUUCUGUGGGCACUUGUUCUACUAAAAGCACCUAGGAUUCCCUACUAGGCAGCUUUCUUCAGGCCUCCCUGGGGCACAGGCUGGGAGUCUGGGGGAUUAGCACCCCUGGUAGGAACCCCAGCACAACCCAGUUGGGUAACUCUGAGAAUAUGUCCUUUAUCUCCCUUCUUUCUCUCACUUUCCUUCUUCCCUGGUAUUUCCUGUUUCCUUCUCCUGAAUAAAAUACUUACAUACUGUUUAAGGUGUGGUUCUCCUGUAACCUAAACUAAGACCAUUAUCUUCCCAAUAGUUAUAUACCUUAUUUCUUGUCAAUGUGACUUGCAUUUCCCUGGUGUUCCAAACUUCCAGUUCAAGUUCAUGAGCUUCAGGGGAGGCUGGCUCACCCCCACCGCAGUGGAGGGGUCUUGAUUUGUCUAGACCCAGAGCACUGUUCCUGUUCUUCUGCGUGAGCAGGUGGCUUAGGUACAACCAAUGAGACCUGGAGGCAAGUCAGCCAGAGGACUUCGAAGACAUAGGAAAAGCAAGUUUAUUUUCAUUCCCUGGCUUUGGUCACGUCUGGAUAAGAUGCUAGAAGUGGUGGAGUCAUCUUGCAACCAUGAGGUAAGACCUUGAGGGAACAGAGACAACAUGGAGGACACAGAACCACGAGAACCCCCAAGAGCAGAGGUAGAACCAUAAUUAUUCACAUCUGGAGCUGCCCCGCCUUUGAAAUCCUUGUUCUGUGAAAUAAUUCCUGUUGAGUAAAGCAAUUGAGUCGUGGUUGUUUUUUGUUACUCCAGGCAAAAAACACCUAAUUAAUAAAUUUUUAGGACUAGAGAAAGCAAACCCCACAAUCUUUAGAGUGUCAAGAGUCUGGAUGUGGUCACUAGAGCAGAAGUCAAGAGCCAAAAGAGGAAAAACAAUUCAAGGAAAGGGGGGCAGAGAUGGAAUCCUAUUCACCGAGUAAUACCAGCAAACAAAGCUAGAAUGUACAAACCAGGAAAGGAGGGCACUAAGAGUGGAUAUCAGCCAACCUGCCUUCCUUCUUCCUUUCUUCCACUCCAUUUGUAAGCACAAACUCUGUCCCAGGCACUUCCAGGAGCUGAGCAUUCAGUGGUGAGCAAGAUUGACAGGCCAUAGCCCUUGGGACACUUGCAACCAAGAAAAUCACUAGCAAGUUGGAGCCUAGGAGUGCAUUUUAAAGCAAGAAUAAGGAAGGUGGACCCAGGUAUGGACCCAGAUAAAACUCUGUGGAGCAGCUGGAUGCUAUUUCUGAUGCCUUCCCCCAAUCACGUGGGCAUCUUGACUCCCAGUCUCGCCUCAAUGGAGGCAGGAAAGACUCCUAACAUUAGGCAGCAUCUGUGCCUAAAAUCCCCAGAGAAAGAACUCUUCCGAAGGCCUCACUGGAACUCUGUGAAAUUGGCACUAUUUGGUAAAUGGCCCGUUAGAAGAGAAAAAUCACUUAUUGAAAAAAUGAAAACAAAAAGCAACAAAAAACAAACACACACACACACAAAACCCAUCCAGAUGGAAACUGGUAUUUGGCAAAUGAUUUUUUCCCCUCAAGUUAGAAAUGACCUAUGUUGAAAAUGUCAGGUAAGAUCAAUCUUUUUUUUUUCUUUUUUUUUAAAUUUUUUAAUGGUUAACUGUUUCCAUUUCAAGGUCCAAAGUUGACCAGAUUCAGCAUUUCUGCCACCAGGGAGCGCUGUGCCCAGUGAACAGUGGGGUAGGCUGGCCUGCACUUCCCGCAUUGCCCACAAGGGGCGCUUAGCCAGCCUCGCGGACCCCCAGCGCAUGCUCUGUUCUGUGGCGUAGAGCCGAGCUGACUUGCCGCCUACCCAGGCUGGGCACCCCAUGUCGGAGUCUCAGCUGACAGAGCUCAGUCCCAGUGAGACCAGCUGGGAUUUCAGCUUCAGGACAGUGGCAGUGGAACCCUGGGUUUCCUGAUGAUGCAGGCAAUACUGGGAGGAAAAGGUGAGGAAAAAAGAGAAGUGAGGAAAAGUGAAAAGCUUCCUGUGUGCCACUGACUGCUGUGGCUCAUCUGUCUUCAGAUGACCCAGGAAGGGCUCAACUUGGAAAACUUUUUUUUAAGUCAAUUAUGUGUGUGGUGCAGAGGUUGGAAGGUGGUCCAGAUUUCCCAGCACCCUUUAUUGUGGGGACUGUCCUUCCUCUUGGUGUGUCCUUGGCCCCUGUGUCAUGAAUUAAGUGACCCUCUCCAUGUGGGUUGAAUUCUGAGCUUUCUAUUUAUUUCCUCUGGCCUCUGCACCUGUUUUGUGGCCAGUUCCACACUGUUUUGGUGACCAUCGCUCUGCAAAAUAGUUCAAAGACAGCCAAAGUAGUUUGACGUCUAUGCAAGAGGCAUGGAGGCUCCCCACCUGCAAAUCAUUUUGUGAAUCCAUGUGGCCUGGUGGGGGGUUGGGCCGUGAGGAAGUGAUAGGGCUAGGGACUUAGGAUCACUAUGGAAGAAUUCUGAGAGCAAAGCCUCACACAACUCUAGUGCCACCAUGUCAUUCCCACCAACAAGUAACCUCUUUUUUUUUUUAAUGUUGGAAUAUAGUUGAUUUACAGUUGCUACAUUAGUUUCAGGUGUACAGCAAAGUGAAUCAGUUAUACAUAUAGAUAUAGCCAUUCCUUUUCAGAUUCUUUUCCCAUAUGAGGUUAUUACACAGUAUCACAUAUAUUUCCCUGUGUUAUACAGUAGGUCCUUGUCUGUUAUCUGUUUUAUAUAUAGUAGUGUGCAUGUUAUUCUCAUUCCUAAUUCAUCCCUCCCACAGUCACCUCUUUUUUGUUUUUUAUUUUUGUGGGAAAGCUCUUUACUGGGGGCAUCCAGCAGAAGGAGCAAGGCCAUCUCCCCCUACUUGGAAAUCUGUAUGGAUAAGUUCAUAGUCAGCAGGGGAAAAAAUACUUGGAAUAUCUUCCCCGGCACAGAAAGGAUGUCAGCCACUCAGAUACUCAUUUUACUAUAACCAGUUGCAGAAAAACUUGGAAGAAGGGAAGUCUUGACUUCUGCCUAUCCCUCUGGAAGAAAUUAUUUUAGAAUUAAAAGGUGAACAGAGACAAAGUGUGAAACUAUACUUUUUUCUCUUGGAAUUUAUGCCAUAAAAACCGAAUCCUGAAGAUGGUAGGUACCCAUUUCUGAGUGUCAAGCUAUAAAUUGACCCAAACAUCUCUGAAACAUAAAGUGCAACAUGAUAGAUAUAGAUUAUCCUUUAGUAUUGAUGAGCCUCUGAGAUUUACUUAGAUGUUUUACUGAAUGUUUAUCAUUUAUGCAUUAAAUCUGGUAACACCUUUUUUUUUUUUUGCACUGAACUGCAGAUGCCGUGUUAUCUACCUACUGCUGUUCUCCUUUGUAUAUGCUCUGCUUUAUUUUCAAAUGUAUCAGAAAUAUCCACACAUACACAUUUAUGCUCUCUUUUCAAGGUAAUAUGGCUGGUAAUUAUGUUAUAAAAAUGUAUGAUUAUUGCUAAAAAUAUAUGGGUCUCUGAAAUUAAAAUAUUCUUUAAUAUUUUUGAUUCAUUUAUUUAUUCAUUCCACAAAUAUUUGUGAAACAUCUAAACAGGCUACAUGCUAGAAUACUGGGCUGCAAGCUAGAUUUGUCACUAUAAGUCUGUCUUUAGAAACUGCUUUUCUGCAGUUACCUUACAAUGGAACCAGUUAAUCAUGAGUUAUUAAUACCAAGGUUUGAAUAAUAAAGUGGUACAAGAUGGCAAAAGAUAGGUGCAAGAUCAGAUUCAGACCCUAAGAUUCUUAGAAUGGAAGAUACAUCAUAAAAAUGGGAGUUCUGUCAUGGCUCCUGUCAUGGCUCAGCGAAUCUGACUACUUUUCAUGAGGACAAGAAGUUUGAUCCCUGGCCUCUGUCAGUGGGUUAAGCAUCCGGUGUUGCCGUGUGGUGUAGGUUGCAGAUGCGGCUCGGAUCUGGCAUUGCUGUGGCUGUGGCGUAGGCCAGUGGCUACAGCUCCAAUUCGACCCCUAGGCUGGGAACCUCUAUAUGCCAAGGGAGCAGCCCUAAAAAGACAAAAAAAAAAAAAAAGAUGAUCAAGAGAUCAUGAAGACCAUGGGAAAAUCUGAGACACACUCAAAGAAACUUACAAGCAACUGACAAAUUGUUGGUGACAGAGAUCUGUGCUCAAAGCCCUGAGCUCCAUUCUUUAGUUCCUGUUGGUGCCUGAGAGGUACGCCUAGUAGCACCUACAAAGCACAAUUUUCAACCACCUGAGACAUCAUCACAGAAGACCAAUCCCUCUACAGGCUUUAUGCUUUUUUUCCACCAAGUUCCAGUUGCUCUCCAGUUCUGAAUGCAGAAUUUCAACACUGUUUCGUAAAGGGGUGUGAUUUGGAUUCAUUCUGACACAUCCAUCUGUGGCUCAUCCUCUUUGUUUCAUGACAAAGCAUCAUUUAUGCCACCUGAAAUCCUUAUCUUCUAAUGCAUAGAACAAAACAUCACAUCAUCAGUCAACAAGUUGGAAAAGGGGAGACUUAAGGCAGCAAUAACAAACUAAGUCCCCCUACAUGUGCCAAUUUUAAUGGGAGAUGUAGGCAGUUGGCAGGCUAGUGUUGAGAGCCCUGAAAUCCAAAGGCAACCUCUGACCAGUGAUGUAAAUUCAGAAAUUCUGCUUCAUCAUUUUUCUCAGAAGAAAUCAGGCUCUGUAAGCUCUCUUUAAUCCACUAUCUCAGGGAAGACAGAAAUCAGUAUGGUAAUUAGUUAUUUACAGCCAGAAUGCCUGUAACUUUUCCCAAUCUCAAGGGAAACCCAUCAGGAGUUUUCUCGAAGACCAUGGACUAAAAAUAAAUGAAGUGAAGGAUUUUUCAUCAGACAGUGGCAAAGCCUGGUGAUCUGAUGUUAUUCCAUGUCAUCCAAGCGCUCAUGCUGGGCAGAAGGAGCUGUGGGUUCUCAAUAAGGCAUCAUUUCCAGGACCUACAAUUCUGAUUCAGAAUGAGCACCAGAGUAGAGCAGAGCUGACCCAGAGUCAGGCUGUAUGAAGCAAGUAGGGAGGUAAGGCUGGGAAUGACUCAGACCCAAAGAGUCAAAAGGAAAUCUGACCUUGUGGAUACGUCCACCAGGCUGAUGGCUUUUCUCCUGGCUCCCACUUCUGCUCAGUCGACAGGCACCACUGGCAGGACAUCAGAAAGUACAGGAAGGAUGACAUCAUUGCAAUGGAUCUCAAACAUUUUGGUCUUUGACUCAUUUACUCUCUUAAAAGAUCAAAAGUAUAUCUGUUGGUAUUAGAAAUGAACACAAUUUAUACCUAUUGAUUUUACUGUAUUAGAAAUUAAAACUGAAAAAUUACACUAAUGACUGAGCUAUAGGAACAGAGAAUCUAUUGGUGUUAGAAAAUUAACUUAUUAAUAUAGUUCAAGAGUAAUAAUUCCAUAGUACCUUAACAUGUGUUUAUGAAGCAUGACUGUAUUUACCCAAACAAGCAAUAAUUUGUGAUAAAAUUGACACAUUUCACAUUUUUGCAAAUCCACUUAAUAUCUGGCUAAGUAGGAGACAGCUGGAUUUUCAGAUCUGCUUCUGCAUUCAAUCUCCCGCCGUAUCAUACAUCAUUGAGUUCCUGAAAAAUUCCACUGUAUACUCAUGAGAACAUUAAACAAUGCAAAUGUCUCAGUAUUAUUAGGAAAAUACUUUUGAAAAUACCUAAGAAAGAAAAUACUUUUGAAAAUACACCAAGGAGUCCCCACAGCACACUUUGAAAACUGCUGGUUGGACUAUUAUUGCCCCUGACUCUCUCGUUUGUAGGCUACAAGCUGGCAGUGGUGGUGCCCCAUAGUCAGAGCUAUAUCUCCUGUUGGGUAGCCAUUCCCUAGCCUCCCCUGAGCCUGUGUUCCCUGUUGUUGCUAAAAGCUCCCUGUUGUUGCUAGCCCUAGUUGCUUCCAAGCCCUUGCUGGCUUCUCUUAAUCUUGCCCACACCUUUUUUUGUAAGUAGGCCCUUCAUUAAACUCUCACCGAUCAUCUUUUGUCAUGCCUGUGUGUGCAGUGGGCAGACUCUAAGCUGGUCUCCAGUGAUCCCCCUCCUUGUGCUCAUGCCUCUGUGCAAUCCCCACCCCUUGUGGGUGGGCAGGACCUGGGAUUUGCUUCUAACUAGUAGAACGUGGCAAAAGUGGUGGGAUGUCUCUCUCUCACAUGCGCGCGCGCACACACACACACACACACACACACACACACACACACACACCAGUUGCGUUAUGUUGUGUAAGACUCUUCUUCCAUUCUCUCCUUGAUGGAGGAAGUGGCCCAUGGGAAAGGUAACUGUGUGACAAGAGCUGCAGACAGCCUCUAGGGGUGCGGCACAGCCUGCAGCUAACAACCAGCAGGAGCUAACCCCCAGCCACACAGCGACAAGGAGAUGAGCUCUGAGCUUCAAAGGGACUCUGCCCCUUUGAGCCCCCAAAUAAAAAUACAGCCCAUCAACACCUUGAUCACAGCCCUAUGAGACCUGAGUGGAGGAUUCAGAUUUGGCAACAUUCCUAAUCCAUGGAAAUUGGAAUAAUACAGGCAGACUACUUUAAGCUGCUAAAUUUUUGGUAAUUUGUUACAUAGCAAUAGAUAUCUAAGUGCCAUCUUCCUCCCCAACCCUGACUCAUAAACUUUCUGCACACUAUUAAACAUUUUAUUUGACCACUGCUGUCCAAUUUUUUUUCCCCACUGUAUGGAAACAACCCAAAUGUCCAUCAACAGAUGAUUGGAUUAGGAAGAUGUGAUAUAUAUACACAAUGGAAUACUGCUGUCCAAUUUUUAAUGGCCUUCCCAUAUUCAUUUUCAUGUCGCAUGAUAGCUACAAAGGAAGUAAAAACUGUAUGUGCGGAAGUGUGUCAUGAUACUGGAGUUUUUGGUUUUUUUGUUUGUUUUUUUUUUUUUUUGGCUACACCCAUGGCAUGUGGGAGUUCCUGAGCCAGGGAACAAACCUGAACCAAGCCACAGCAGUGACCUGAGACGCAGCAGUUAUAAUGCCAUUUCCUUAACCCAUUGAGCCAUCAGGGAACUCUGAGUUUUUAUUAUUUAAACUUGGAUCAAGGAGUUCCUGUUGUGGCUUAGCUGGUUAAGGAUCCUACAUUGUCUCUAAGGAUGCAGAUUUGAUCCCUGGCCUGCUGAGCGGUUGAAGGAUCCAAGGUUGCUGUAAGCUGCAGCAUAGCUCGCAGAUUCAGGACAGAUCUGGUGUUGCUGUGAUUGUGGCAUAGGCCACAGCUGCAGCUCUGAUUCAACCCCUGGCCCAGGAAAUUCCAUAUGCCAUGGGUGUGGCUAUAAAAAGAAAAAAAAAAAAAAACUUGGCUCCAGUCGACUUUUCUCUGGAUUAAAAGGAUGUAAUAUAUAAAGUUUAUAUACACAAGACCCUUUUGCUUUUAGUUCUAUAAAAAUUAAUACUAGUACAAUAUACACAAAAUAUUUGCAUAUGUCAUAGUAUAUAGUAUACGUGUAGUUUUUAAAAAGGUAAUAUCAUGAGGGCCUGCUUACUUACCACCAGCUUAAAAAACAUUACAAAAACUUGAUGUUAACUCUCCGGAUAUACAUCUGAAACGUAUUUUCUUGCCUCCCUAACCAGGUAACUAGUAUCCUGUAUUUUGGGCUGAUCACUCUCUUGCUUUUUGUUGUCAGUUACCAACCCUAUAUGUUGAUAUAUGUAUAUUGUUGAGUUUUCAAUGUCUUUGUGCUUCACUAAUAUACGUAUAUAUACAUGUGAAUAUAUGUAUGUAUAUAAAUUUAUCUGCAACUUGCUUUUGUUUCUCUAUUAGAGGUUCAGCUAUGCUGCAGACACAGCUGUAAUUUAUUCAUGUUUUAUUGUACCUUAACUUAUUUAUCCACUCUCCUAUCUGUGUAUGUUUAGAUUAUCUUCAGUUUUCAUUUUGAGCAGUUUGCUGUACAUAUGAGCAGGACUUUUUCAAAUCUAGGUGUAUACCUAGGAGUGGAAUUGCUGGAUUGUAGGAUAUAUUAAUCUUCACCUUCAUCAGAUAAUACCUAGUUCUUUUCCAAAGUGACUCUGCCAUUCGUUGCUCUUACAAGCCAUGUAUAAGGCUUCUUGUUCCAUGUUUUGCUGAUAAGCCUAACUUACCUUUGAUUAGCAUAUUAUGUUACUCUUUACUUUCCUGUCAUGACAAAGAUCAGGGGCAAAAAUUAAAAUUGUAUCAGUUGUAGAAAAUCAUCUAAGCUGUAUUUUCUCUGUUAAUUCAUUUAAAAACUAAUACUUGUUGAAAGUUGCCUAGACACUGUUCUAGGCACUGUGGAGGUAGCCACAACAGAGCAAGCCUCCCGCCUGGUGGAACUGACAUCUCCAAGGAGACAGAGAGUAAAGCUCAGAACACAUUGGGAACCAAUCAGCACAUGGAGAAAAACAUCACACAAGGAAGAAGGUGAGGACAUAGCAAGAAGGUGACCAUCUGCAAGCCAGGCAGCAAGUCCUUACCAGGAACCAAAUUGGCUAGUACCUUGGACUUCCAGCCUCCAGAACUGUGAGAAAUCACAUAUAUGAAAACUACCUUAAAAAGGAAAUUGGGGAGUUCCCGUCGUGGUGCAGUGGUUAACGAAUCCGACUAGGAACCAUGAGG